rfam:Globodera pallida, Lindley, WGS project CBXT01000000 data, contig: pathogens_Gpal_scaffold_470_contig_7
GCCGUUAUAGCUCAGUCGGUUAGAGCGUGGGUCUAAUAAGCCCAAGGUCGCAGGUUCGACCCCUGCUAACGGCA